CUGACCUAUGUGGACAGCUGCAAGAACAAAGGAUUCCUGCACCAAGAAGUUUACAACAACCAACUCCCCCCUUCACCCCCUGCCCCUCACCUUUUAGUAUAAAAGAAGCCUGAAUUCUGACUGUGGUAAGAUGGUUCUCUAGGACAUUAGUCGGCCACCUUCUCAGUCUGCUGGCUUUCCAGAUAAAGUUCCCCCAGUAACUUGUCUCCCGAUUUACUGCCUGUCAUGCAGCGAGCAGAAUGACUUUAGACUUAGUAACAGAUGUACUGUGUAAUGAGGUGUCAUCUGUGUAAUCACUCCAGGCUCUUGUGGUCUGAAAGCUUAGGCCCUUACUCUAAUGCACUAUCUUCCUUUAUUAUGAGAGAGAUUUUCCUGAAAACCUGUCUGUAAACCAUUUAUUUCUCUAUAAAAUCUUAUUCCCAUCCCACUCAUGGCAUUUGUUAUCAUAUUGCCUUUAAUACAAAUAACUCCCCAAAUGUAGCUGUUUCCCAUAUUUAAGUUCUGGAAACUUCUCUUAGAAUCUCAGAAUUUCAGAGGUUGCCACAGAAGGGAGAUUGGGAAGAGAAGAGAGGGAAUGGUGUUUAAUGAUUGUCUUUGGUUUCUUUUUCGAAAAAUAGCUGUACAAAAUAACAUGUGCACAACAACACGAAACAAAAGCUACAACUGCCCUCCCAUCGUUAAUUUCAAUUACAGGGAAAACUAUGUUAUCGGAAGUAUUUGCUUGUUAGAGACCCUACUUUAACUUUCAAAUACUAUUGAGUGUUUAUAAGCCAUGCCCAUGUCUCAGGUUCUGAUUUUACAUUACCCAAAACCCUAUUUGAGUACCUACCGUGUGCCUCGUACAUAGAAAAAUUUGUAUAAGGCGUGAUCCUUUGCUCUCAAGAAGUUUGCAUUCUACUUCCAGAAGGUAGGCCCUGCACACACUGCACGGAAUUCUAUGGAGUCAUGACCACACAAUUCUCAUGUAGCUGAGGAGGGCACAGAAUACCCUAGAGGCCAUUGGGCAGGGGCUCAAGUGGCCUGUAGGGUAGCCUGACCCUGCCACUGCCUCCUGGAGCUAUUUAGGGGAUGUGGCAGUAAACAGCAUGAUGCCUGUCGUUAUUUUCUCCUCUGACCCACCCGCCGUCAUGGGAGGAGGCCAGGCCUGACUUAGCAGGGUUCUUAGACUAGUCAGGAGCCAGAAGACAUUGUGGGGGAGGGCUGUGAGCAAUGGGAGCCUUAUGCUUGUGGUUGCUACAGGAGGAGGGCGAUCAGGUGCUCCCCAGAUAGCUUUCCAAGAUGCUCUCAAGAUCAUAUCCUGCCCCAUUGCCUCAUCCUGCUCAUCGGACCCUAAAACAAGGUUUGGCUUGCCUUUGAGAAAUCUGCUUGACCUGAAACAGUAGGUGAUAUACCUAGAGUCCACAAAUCUUCUCCCAGAGUUCUAUUUCCUGGGCAUCUCUCUACCUAACUCAGGGUUUCUUCUCUUCUGGCUAAGAACAGACGUGCUAUCCAAAGCUGACAUUCCUCUUGAAGAACAGAGGAAGCAACUACAAGCUCUCCAUUCCCUUCCAACCCAUCUGUGCCUUCCAAGGAAAAUUUACCCAGGCAGGCUCCCAGUUGACUUUUUACAGAUAACCCUGGGAUCCAUCUGAAAUAUCUUUUUGAAGUAUGGCAUCUGGAAAGAACAGCAGUGAUGUUUCCCCCAAAGAGCCAAUUAUCCUAGCAUCAUUUAGCCAAUGAUUUAUAAAAAUCUGAUAAACUACUCUGAGGACUUCCCUGGUGGCGCAGUGGUUAAGAAUCUGCCUGCCA